rnacentral:rRNA from 1 species
CACGUAGGGUGCGAGCGUUGUCCGGAUUUAUUGGGCGUAAAGAGCGUGUAGGCGGCCAGGUAGGUCCGUUGUGAAAACUCGAGGCUCAACCUCGAGACGUCGGCGGAAACCCUCUGGCUAGAGUCCGGAAGAGGAGAGUGGAAUUCCUGGUGUAGCGGUGAAAUGCGCAGAUAUCAGGAAGAACACCCGUGGCGAAAGCGGCUCUCUGGAACGGUACUGACGCUGAGACGCGAAAGCGUGGGGAGCGAACAGG